CCUUGGUAGCAAAGAUCCUAAAAUUUGCGAUGAUACAGAAGAUUAACAUGGCCCCUAUGCAAGGAUGACACACAAAUUGGUGAAGCAUUGGGGCCCUCUUUU